CGAGACCUCAGGUCAGACGGGGCUACCCGCUGAGUUUAAGCAUAUCAAGGAGAAAGGAGGAAAAGAAGUAACCAAGGUUCCUUA
rnacentral:rRNA from 1 species